rnacentral:lncRNA from 1 species
UCGGCAUCACAGCUGCAAGGGAAUUCCAGUUGGCUGGAACAGGAUUGUGCCGGGAGUUACUUCAUCUCUUAACUCUUGAUCCCCAGGGGGCCACUAUCCGUGGUGGCUGGAAGGACCUGAGCUCCGUUUGUCCCAGCCCUCCGUUUGAUUGGUAACUGUCUCUUGCAUUACUGACUUCAGCAGGCAUUUGCCCAGCACCUACUCCGUGCCAAGCCGCCAGAACACAGAGGAUGGCAGAGAGUCCACCUGCUUAAGUUGGAAAUCUGUGCACCACGAAAGUGAAAUAGGGUGCCUUGAUGAAAUUGGAUGAUUUUCAUCCACUCAGGGUGAGUGACCGGCAGCCAGGAGCUGGGUCGGAGAAGAUGGUGGAUUUCCGUACGUCUGAUGGACGACUCCGCGGGUUCCGGCUAACAGCCUUUCUGUUUUGUGCCUAUUUCACUGUUUAGAUUUAACAUUGCCAAAUACUAGAAAUUUUCUCCAUGUGGAGA